rnacentral:ncRNA from 1 species
AACAGCCGUGUAAGGCGAGAGUCUUACGCACGGUUGUGUGAGAGGUUCGGACUGAAAUGUCCCUAUCUACUCGAC